UACGGGGGGGGGCAAGCGUUGUUCGGAAUUACUGGGCGUAAAGGGCUCGUAGGUGGCCAACUAAGUCAGACGUGAAAUCCCUCGGCUUAACCGGGGAACUGCGUCUGAUACUGGAUGGCUUGAGUUCGGGAGAGGGAUGCGGAAUUCCAGGUGUAGCGGUGAAAUGCGUAGAUAUCUGGAGGAACACCGGUGGCGAAGGCGGCAUCCUGGACCGACACUGACGCUGAGGAGCGAAAGCCAGGGGAGCAAACAGG
rnacentral:rRNA from 1 species